rnacentral:rRNA from 1 species
AUUGAACGCUGGCGGCAGGCCUAACACAUGCAAGUCGAAAGAGUGGCGGAGGGGUGCGGAAUGACAGGGAAACUGCCCGAUGGAGGUGGAUAACUACUGGAACAGGUAGCUAAUAACGCAUACCAGCGGAUGUGCCCAGCUGGGAUUAGCUAGUAGGUGGGGUAAUGGCUCACCUAGGCGACGAUCCCUAGCUGGGGUGAGAGGAUGACCAGCCACACUGGAACUGAGACACGGGCCAGACUCCUACGGGAGGCAGCAGUGGGGAAUAUUGCACAAUGGGCGCAAGCCUGAUGCAGCCAUGCCGCGUGUAUGAAGAAGGCCGUCGGGUUGUAAAGUACUUUCAGCGAGGAGGCGUUACUCGCAGAAGAAGCACCGGCUAACUCCGUGCCAGCCGCCGCGGUAAUAC